CGCGGAGCACGUCGAAUUUCGGCAAUGUGUGAAAAGAGCGAGACAAGAACAUGUUUGACGAACGAUAAAACAGAGAUAGCUUGUGUUGACACGCAAAAGAUAGGCCAACGAGGGUUGAAAGGGGAUGAAACGAGGUGAAACGCAUGAAAGCUUGACCGCUGGGAAUGUUCAAUUUGUUUAUUUUUUAAUUUUAAAUUAUCAAUAUUUGUGUUAUAAAUUAUUAGUAAAAUAAAGUUUAGUAAAUUCAGCACAAUUAAAUCGGGAAUGAAACAUUCUUAUGUAGCUAAAAACCAACACAGGCCAACACCAACCAAACCAACAGAGUACAGCUCUACUACUGAUAGAAGAGCAGGAGGAGGAGGAAGAAUCGCGAUCAGAAAACUGCCGGAUCUGGGUUACGGAUUUCUUUUUGGAAAGGGAAGAUGUGUGGAACCGAUUGUUAAAGGCAAUCGAUGGAGAAGGUGCCAACAACCGGAUGAACGAUUUUCUGCGACUCAAUCGGGAGGAGUUCCUUCAUGUUUGUCUUUAAUCGGUCCAAAAAUAUGCAGAGUAGAUACAACAAUGCGUAAAGCAAUAACUGCUAAGUAACGGCUUGCCAUCGCGCUUCGCUUUUUGGCCUCUGGGGACUCAUAUGAAUCGCUAUCCUUUAUGUUUAGGGUCUCAAGUCCAUCUGUAUCCCGGACCGUGCAGGAAAUUUGUGAACAUAUAAUACACGAGGUAAAGGAAUAUGUGAAGGUAUUGUAUAUUUUCCAUAUUAUCAAUAAUGUAAUUACGUUCUUAUUAACUAAGUCAUAAUUAGUGUAAUGUGGGAACAGCACGCGUUUUUCACAUAGCAGUAUUAAUCCGAAUGAUCCCUCAGCAUGCUGAACUGAUUAUUCCGUGUUUGAUGUUCCAAUGCAAAAUAAGUAUCUCAGUUGUAACUUCAUAGUGGGAGACUAACACAUUUGAUCCUGCUAAAUUACACCUCAGCCUUA